GCCCAGGUGGUGGAACUGGUAGACACGCAGGACUUAAAAUCCUGUGAACAGAAAUGUUCGUACGGGUUCGAUUCCCGUCUUGGGCA
rnacentral:tRNA from 1 species